AUGCAAUGGAAAUUUUGACUCUGUGGAAGUUUGGGGCAGAAUCAUACUGAAAAUGAUGAAUUUUCACUGAAGUCUUUUUCCCUUGCAGUGACCCCGCUUAUAUCAAUCAGCUUCUGCCUCACAUUUGCCAGUGCAAAAUGGAACCAAUAUCCUUUGGACUCUGAAAAAUAAUUGCUGCUUCAGUACCCAACUGGCUGAAAGAAGAGAGAAGACGUUAAGGUAUGAAAUACGUAAGGGAAAGAGAAGUUGCCUAUGCUGAAGGGAACAUAAUUUAAUUAGGGGGAGCAGAUAAAUUAAGGAAAGAUAAAAACAGGGCGUCUGGGUGGCUCAGUUGAUUAAGCAUCUGACUCUUGGUUUCGGCUCAGGUCACAUCUCAUGGUUUGUGAGUUCAAGCCCCGCAUCGGGCUUUGCACUGGAGCCUGGCAUGGAGCCAGCUUGAGAGUCUCUCUCUCUCCCUCUCUGUCUCUGCCCAUCCCCUGCUCGUGCUUGCUCUCUCUCUCUCUCAAAAUAAAUGAAUAAACUCAAAAAAAAAAAAAAGAAAAGGUAAAAAUGAAUAAGCUUUAGCAGUCAAAUAAAAAUUCCCAAGAAAACAUUUUUAAGAGAAUAUCUUAAACACUUCUUGGGACAAACUUCUACCUACUGUUGUCUGCUACAUAAAAUUAUUGUCACAAUGUUGCCACAUAAUCAAAAUCAAUUGGUAAGGUAAAUAUGAUAAAGUUUGAAAAUUUAACUUCUUUUUUUACUAAAGAAUGAUUUCAUCUGCUUCCCUUCCUGAACACCUUUAAAUGAUUGUGGCAGGUGUACGUAACUUGUUUCUCCACUGAUGUUUACAGUAAGGUUAACUGAGCUUUCCAAAUCAGGUUGGGGGGGGGUGUUUCUAACUAUGUAACAUUGUGAGGAAGAUCAAGUUUGUUUUUGGUCUUCUCUCAGCUUCUUCUAAAACACUGAAUCUGGGGGCGGGCGCCUGGGUGGCUCAGUUGGUCAGGCAGUUAAGCAUCUGACUUCAGCUCAGGUCAUGAUCUCACAGUCAGUGAGUUGGAGCCCUGCAUCGGGCUCUCUGCUGUCAAUACAGAGCCUGGUUUAGAUGCUCUGUCUCCCUCUCUCUCUGUCCCUCCCGUGCUUGCGCUCUCUCAAAAUAAAUAAAUAAACCUAAAAAAAAAAACAAAACAGAACACUGCAUCCCCUUUCCUUUUUGAUACAUCUGACUCACCCUGUGGGGGCCUAAUCUUGAUAAUAUUGGCAAAGUGCCUUUUUCUCUCUUAGGAGUCCAUGUUGCAAAGGCAAUACCACCCUUUCCUCCACCACCUAGAUUUGUGUUCAGUCAGUAGAGAACUGUGGAAAGAUGAAAAGUCCUCAAAUCCAGGGAAAUUACUUUGGUGGAAUGUAUAUAUCAUGUCAAAUGAGAUAAACAUCAGGAUACAGGAUGCACACUACCUGUGACCUUACAGAGCAGGCCAAAUGGCUUGUCACCUAUUUAUAAGACCAAUCCUGACCUAGCACUUUGUUGAGUAUAAAAAAAAAAUAAAGCUUUGUUUUAGUAGAAUAAUAUCAAAUAUAGCAUGACCUCAUAGAAAAAGAAAAGAUGCAUGAUGUUAUUCAUAAUAUGCAGUGUAUGUAAAUCAUAUACAUACAAUGUCAUGUGUGACUGACAGCAAUACUUAUUAAAACCAUAAUGUACUUUAUUUUGGCAUUGUAAGCUUAUGCAUUCAAAAUUAUGUUUUCAUGCAUUGAUUUUUUUUUUUAAGUUGGAGAAUAAAAUACAUAUUAAAAAUUUUUUUCUAUGUUCAUGUAAGGGGUGGAGCUAAAAAAUUUUCAUGG